GUACUUGCUUCAGCAGCACAGAUACUAAAAUUAUAAUCAUCAGAGAAGAUUAGCAUUGCCCCUGUGCAAGGAUGACACACAAUUUGUGAAACAUUCCAUAUUUUU
ensembl:snRNA U6 U6 spliceosomal RNA